UACGAAGGGGGCUAGCGUUGCUCGGAAUCACUGGGCGUAAAGCGCACGUAGGCGGAUUGUUAAGUCAGGGGUGAAAUCCUGGAGCUCAACUCCAGAACUGCCUUUGAUACUGGCGAUCUCGAGUCCGGGAGAGGUGAGUGGAACUGCGAGUGUAGAGGUGAAAUUCGUAGAUAUUCGGAAGAACACCAGUGGCGAAGGCGACUUACUGGACGAUUGUUGACGCUGAGGUGCGAAAGCGUGGGGAGCAA
rnacentral:rRNA from 1 species